ACUCAACUCAUCAUCAUCAAUAUUGAUUUGCCCAUUUUGCGAAAGAGUCAACUACUUCUACUCACUAUUACUUUUUCCAAUUGGAUAAACCCAUUUUCAAACUUACCGGUUCAACCCAAACUGAUUAUGACCCGAAACGAUUACAACCCGACCCAAUUAGGACCUAAUCGGAAUAGAAAUCGCAAUAAAAUAUAACUAAACUGAACUGACUCGAUAAUUUUUAAAACCGACCAGCUAAUCAUUUCAACUCGUUAUAAACCGAUCCGUUAAACCCAAAACCGAUAAACCCAACCCGAAUCCGAACCGUUUACCCGAAUUGACACCCGUAAACAACAUGUAUUAUGUAUUUUUUUUUUGAGAAACAUUAUUAUUAAUGUCAAAAAAUAAAAUUAUUAUUAUACCAUCACUAAUGAGUAAUGAUUCGACCAAUUAGUUGUUGGUGCAGUGGUGAUUGGUAUUGCACUUGGUAGGGAGGACCCGUGUUUGAUCCCCCGCAACAACAAUUGGGAGAGGACUGAAACCUAACUAACCAAAAUUGAUCCCCGAAAUCGAAUUAGCCCAAAGGGUGAACCGGGUUAAAAAAAAAAAAAAAAAAAAAAAAAAAAAAAAAAAAAAGAGUAAUGAUUCUCCAAACAAAUCACUGAAGACUAAAAAACUCCAACUAAUUCGUUGAGUUCCCACAAAAUCCUUUUGAAAAAGAAAAAAAUUCCUAAAAAAAAAACAAGUCAAAAGACUGCCAUCUAAUAUUCCAAACUUGAUCUCCUUCAGAAUUUCACUCAUCAAAUUCGAAUUUGAUUUCGAUUUUUUUAUAUCAAUUUCUAAUUUUUUAGUGUAGAUUGAAGAUAGUGAGGAAUUAAUAAUAGAUUGUUUGGUAUCAUCUUCUAAUUAUAUCUUAGUGUUACUAGAAGAUAGCAAAGGGUAGGUCGAGGAAGAAACAAAGACAAGUCCGAAAAAGCUACUCAACUAGCUAAUUGCUGUUUGUUAAUCUGGAAUUUAUUGAGGAAGAUGAUGAACCGGAAAUUUUAUGCCCAUGUACGAAGUGUGUUAACAGAUUCUGGUUCACUAGGGAGGUGGUUUUCGAUCACCUAAUUGCUCAUAUAUUUAACAAGAGGUAUAAAGUGUGGAAUUUUCAUGGCGAAGGACUAACGGCAGGGUCUUCUUUAAGGGGAGGUGGGCAUCAAUGUCAUAAUCAAAACACAUUAGACAAUAUAGGUGAGAUGAUUAAUGAUAUAUUCAGAGAUGUUAUGGGAGGUUCCACCCCUGAAGCAGAAGGAAUUCACAAGGGUCUUGAUGAGAAGGCUAAAAAGUUUUUUAAACUGUUAGAAGAUGCAAAAGAGGAAUUAUAUCCAGGUUGUAAAAAAUUUUCAGUGCUUUCAUACAGAGUGCAACUUUAUUUACUUAAAUGCCUUAACAGGUGGAGCAAUUCUUCUUUCGAUGAGUUGAUGAAGCUUCAAUGUGCUGCAUUUCCAUCAGCAAAGCUCCCCACUUCUUUUCAUCAUGCUAAAAAAAAUGGUGAAGAACCUUGGACUUGAUUACAAACGAAUUGAUGCGUGUCCCAAUGAUUGUAUGCUGUAUUAGAAAGAGCGUGCAAAUGACAAGUCUUGCCAUGUUUGUAAAGCUUCUAGGUGGAAAUUAAAUGAGAAACAAAAAGAGGAAGGUGCAUUGCCCGACAAAGGAGUUCCUGCAAAAGUUUUGCGUUACUUUCCACUUAAACCUUGUCUACAAAGGUUGUUCAUGUACCCUAAGAUGGCUGAACUCAUGACAUGGCAUGAAACUGAUCGUAAGAAAGAUGACAAAUUAAGGCACCCUGCUGAUGGAUAAGCUUGGAAAAAUUUCGAUAUUGCGCAUCCUCAAUUUGCAAGUGAUUUUUGAAAUGUGAGUCUUGGUCUUACUACUGAUGGUUUCAACUCGUUCAGAACUAUGAGUGUGUCAUAUAGUAUUUGGCCAGUUGUUUUAUCCAUUUAUAAUUUACCUCCUUGGUUAUAUAAUAAGUCUGAGUAUGAUAUCAUGUCUUUGAUUAUACCUGGUCCUUCUUCUCCAGGGUAUGACAUAGAUGUUUAUUUGUAAUCGUUAAUCGAGGAAUUGAAGGAGUUAUGGGAAGUUGGAGUUGACACUUAUGAUGCCGUGAAAGAUGAAACAUUUUCAUUAAGGGCAGCCUUGUUAUGGACAAUCAGUGACUUUCUUGCUUAUGCAAUUUUGUCGGGAUGGAGUACUAAAGGAGAAUUUUCUUGCCCGAAUUGUAAUCAUAAGACUUGGUCCAAAUACCUUAAGUAUAGUAAGAAAAUGUGUUACAUAGGACAUCGUAGCUCUUUGAAAGAAAAUCACCCAUGGCGUCGUAAUAAAAGAGCAUUUGAUGGUAAUGUAGAAACAAGGCCUCCUCCUACUAGAUUGUCGGGUUUUGAUGUAUUAAAAGAUCUAGAAGGGUUUGACAAUAAAUUUGGGAAAACUCAAAACAAAGGCAGGAAGAAAUUUCCUUGGAAGAAGAAAUCUAUUUUCUUUGAGCUUCCUUAUUGGGAAACUAAUACUUGCGUCACAAUCUUGAUGUUAUGCACAUUGAGAAAAAUAUCUGUGACAGUGUGCUUGGUACUUUGCUUGAUAUCACAGGGAAGACCAAAGACCAUGUGGCAGCCCGCUUUGAUUUACAAGAUAUGGGUAUAAUAAAUGAACUCCAUCCAAAGAGAACUAAUAGUAGAGGGAAGCGUUUAUACUCCAAAGCUUGUUUUUCCUUAUCUUCUAAUGAAAAAGACUUGUUUUGCAGUGUGAUAAAAAGUGCUAAGUUUCCCGAUGGUUGUGCAUCAACCAUCUCCAGAUGCGUCCAAUCCCAUGAGAGGAAUGUUACUGGUUACAAGAGUCAUGAUGCCCAAUUUUUGCUUCAUUAUUUUCUCCAAGUUGCUGUAAAGAAUACCUUGCCUAAGCAAGUAGCAUCGACUAUGAUUAAGCUGGUCUAUGUAGGAAAGUUCUAAAGUAAAGAUCUUGACGAUCUUGAAUCUGAAAUCAUAGAGAUACUUUGCCUACUUGAGAAGAUAUUCCCCCCUAGUUUCUUUAACAUAAUGGUCCACCUUCCACUUCAUCUUGUAGAUGAAGUAAGGCUUGGGGGGGCUGUUCAAGGUCGUUGGAUGUAUCCGAAAAAGCGGUAUUUGGGUAAACUGAAGUCAUAUGUAAAAAAUACAAGUCGACCCGAAGGCUCCAUUGCAGAGGUCUACUUGGAAGAAGAAUGCCUUAUUUUUUGUUCUCUGUAUCUUCACAAUGAUUUUAGUUCAAAGUUGAAUCGGGCACGUUGAAAUGAUGAUGAUACGCCUCCAAUGAAGAUGGAAGCCUUUUUCCUAGUGUUGGACGUCCUUUAGGCGUAAAAAAGAAAAACAAGGGCAAAAAGGUUUCUCUAGAUGAAGACACCUUGAUGAAGGGUCACCGCUAUGUACUCUUUAAUUGCGAUGAAAUCAGUGAUUACAUAAGUGAACAUCAAGAUUUAGUGAAUCGUCAAAGAAGUCAAGGUAGACGAGGUAAGCGGACGGAGUAGGUGGGCGAGAGCACAAGAACACAGUCAUGAUAAUUGAGCAUGGUUCAAGGACCGUGUACGAGAAGAAAAUGUUUCCAAAGAAAUCAAGGCUUUACCCCAGGGUCCUGACUAGACUGUGAGAAGUUUUAAAGGGUACCUAAUAAAUGGUAACAAUUUUCAUACAACUGCACAUGAGUCAAAAAGGAAAACUCAAUGUAGUGGAGUUAGUGUAACAUCUUCAAUGUCGAGUUUUGCAAGUUUCAGGGAUCAAAAUCCUGUUGUUGGGGACGUCAAAUAUUAUGGAGUUGUGGAGGAUAUCAUUGAGUUAGAUUAUUUUGGACAUUUCAAAGUGGUAUUGUUUCGCUGUAGCUGGUUUCAAGUGGAGCAAGAUGAGUUUGGCCUAACAUGUGCAAAUUUUAAAAGGUUAUGCUAUACUAAUGACCCUUUUGUGAUGGCUAAUCAAGUAAACCAAGUUUUUUAUGUGCAAGAUUCUAAAGAAAAGCAUUUGCAUUACGUUAUGGAAACUAUCCCCGGAGAUUUCUUUGAUAUGAGUGAAGAAUCAAAUGGUGAUGUUGGAGUUUCUUAUUGAAAUGAAUCUGCUCGCGAUGGUGUUCGCCUAGGGGCAACUGUUGCUGAUGACUAUGAUGUUAGUUGGUUGAGAGAGGACUUGCCUGGCACUACUGUUGAUGUUCUAGAAUACAUGUUAGAAAUGCAAGCAGAGCCGGAAAUUGAUGAUUCGGAUGAUGAAAUCGAGGACAAUACUCUAUGGGAUUUCAUGCAAGCAAGUGAAGAUGAAGCUUAGGAAAUAUGAUUUGUCAUUUCUAGUAUUCUAUUUUUAGUAACUUUGAAGUAAUAAAAGCUUAGGGAUUUUAGCUUAAACAGUUUUGGUUUUGUUUGGUUUUUAGUAACUCUAGUAUCCUGUUUUUGCUGCCUGUUAUGUUUGCUUGGGAGUGGUCUGUUUCUGUUAUGCUGUCGUCUGCUGUGAGGCUAAUUCUGUUGAGAUGUGUAGGUCCUCAUUUCUUUGUUGGUUUGGCUGGCUGUGCUUGUAGCUGCUUUCCUGCUUAGCUGUUUGCUGCUGUUAUUUCUAUCCUGUUUUGCUGUAGGUCCUCGUUUCUUUGUUGGUUUGGCUGGCUGUGCUUGUAGCUGCUUUCCUGCUCAAGUGUUUGUUGCUGUUAUUUCUGUCCUGUUUUACUGCAGGUCUGGUUUCUCCUGCUUUCCUGUAUUGCUGGGAGCAGCUAGUGUGCUACAGGUCUGGUUUCUCUUGUUCUCUGGUCUACUGGGAGCUGCUGUUCGCACUGUUGUGGUUCUUUGUUGCUGGAUUGCAGGUUCUCUUCAGGAUGGUUUUUGUUUGUUUAGAGGAUAAUCUACACCAUAUCUAGAAUACAUCAAUGUGGUUUGAUAAGCUGACGAAUGUUGGAGGAGAUGUUAAGAAUUUUCUAACAGCCAGCCACCCGCAGCAGCUGGCGGCACCAGCAGCUAGCAGCCACCAGCAGGCAGCAGCAGCCACCAGCAGGCAGC